GCGGGCGUGGCGGAAUGGUAGACGCAUGGGACUUAAAAUCCCUCGGGCGCAAGCCCAUGCCGGUUCGAGUCCGGCCGCCCGCACCA
rnacentral:tRNA from 2 species